UUACUACAAUAUACUUGUAUACGUGUUCACGAAGGGACGCGAGCUAGGUAUAUAAUGUUAUUAGUCUACAUUGUAAUACGUAGUAUAGUAUUUAUAAUAUAUAUACCUUGAGGUGAUAGGCUUUUCAAGCUUCCCGAUAACUUGAUAUGUAAGAAAAAUAUUAAGUAUUAAAUCAAACUAUUAAAGUUAAGCUUGGUAGUUAUUAUCAAUGAAAUGUUUGCGUAUGCUGCUUAAGCUUAAUCCCUGGGUUGUCAUAUAGAUUAUUAUAAAGUAUUUGUUUUUAUAAGUAUUAUUACAUUAUAUUUUUGCGUUUAAAAUAGAUAAUGUAAAUAUAAGUAAUUAUUAGGUUUGUUUUUAAGGAACUCGGCAAAUAAGCUACUCAACUGUUUAUCAAAAACAUAACUAUAUGAUAUAAUAUAUAGCGUUUCUGCUCAAUGGAACUCUAAAUAGCCGCAGUACUCUGACUGUGCAAAGGUAGCAUAAUCAAUUGGCCUCUAAUUAAGGUCUAGUAUGAACGAACUUAUGGGUAGCAACUGUCUUAAAAUAGUAAAUUAAAUUAAUUAAUAAGUGCAAAUGCUUAUUUGAUUAUAUUAGACGAGAAGACCCUAGAAACUUAUUAUAUUUUGUUGGGGCGACAGAAUUACAUAAAACUAAUUUUAUUUUACGGGACGUAAAACAGAAAGAUAAAGUUACUCUAGGGAUAACAGCAUAAUUUUAAUUAGCUUGUGACCUCGAUGUUGGACUAGGUAGAAAGUUUUUUAGAAGAAAGCUUUCUUCGCUCUGUUCGAGCAAUUUUAACCUACAUGAUCUGAGUU
rnacentral:rRNA from 1 species